rnacentral:lncRNA from 1 species
GCAUGGAGUGGGUGGAGGCCAGGGAUACUGCUCAGCACCCUGCAGUGCCCAGGACAGCCCCGCCCCAGAGAACUAUCUGGCCCCAGUGUCCACAGUGCCCACAGGGAGAGACCCUGGAGGGGUCCAUGGGUCUCAAACUUUGCCCACCCCAGCAUGGCCAGCGUUGCCUGGGAACUCGGUGGCAUGCAAGUUCUCAGGCCUCACCCCAGAGCCAGGGCUGCAGCUCAGCUUCCCACAAGGCACAGGAUGGCCCCAGAUGUCCACAAAGCCCAGGCACAGAAGCCUGUUCUGGGGGCCAGCUCAUCUAGCCUGAGUCUGGCUGGACCUCCACUAGCUGAGACGGAAGCCCAGCCAGCCCGCUCACCUCUUCCUGGAGAAGCCCGACGCAGCGCCCGCCACUCCCUCCCCUCCGUGUGCAGCUCCCCGGCUCUAAAGCACUCACUUGUCUAACCCGAUUCUCACCCUACAAGACCGCAACCGGCCAUCACUUCUGCCCUCCGCCAGGACACCGAGGCCAGCUGUGUCACUGCCCCGAGGGGUUGCAGGUGCAGAGCCGCAGAGGCCUGAGGGGUGGCAGGGAGAGAGGUGGGGGCAUCUUCCCACUCCAGCCCCGUCUGGCCUCAGCACCUGACAGCCAGGAGAAGAGUUCUGGGGUCUUCCAGACAAGCCCCCACGUCCUGCAGCAGCCUGUGCUCCCUCGAAAGGGAGAUGACUCCUCUACCUUCAGGAGCCUCCGCCUCCUUCCCACCUGCAGGGGGACCCUGGAAAGGCUGGGGCAGCCUCCGAGCAUCGAGGUGAAGGCCGAGGAGUCUUUAUUGGUGACAGGCUGCUCACCGGCUGUCCCAAAAGCAGACACAGCUCAGGGCACAAGCUGCGUGCAGGCUGGCGGCUGGAACAGGUGAGGGAAUCCAGUGAUGCCAUCCAGCUGUCCAUGCUGAGAACCCAACGAGGGGCUUCCUUCCCGCUGGAGCCCACGCCUGCGC